rnacentral:lncRNA from 1 species
AGAUCUGGCGACUUGUUUAAAUUUCAUCAGCCUCACUUCUAUGAACUCUCAGAGCUGAUUACCAACUCCUACCACUGUUAACCCUCAUCCAGGAAAAAGCUUAUGUCUUUAACAUUCUGAGUGGGCUUCAGCAUCCUUGCAUAUGUUCAAUUCUUAAAAACCUGUUGAAAUAAAAGAUCAGGAGACAUAGGAAGGAUGCCAGAAGAGAGCGUGGCCUCAUGUGUACCAGCUCUCUGCUCUCCUUUGCCUUGGGACGUUCCAUCCCUGGAAGUUUCCCUGCCCACAUCUUUGUAGAGAGUCCAUUCUCCAAGCUUCAGUGUGUCAUCUGUGAGGACUGUGACCAACCUGGUACAUCGCCUCAGGGCAUUCAUUUCAGGCUCCUUCUAAAUGGUCAAGGCACCCUUGGAAAUGCAAUGCUACAUCUCAAUGGGAUUUUCCAGUACAAAGAUUCUUUUCAAAUAACAUAAUUGUGGAUACACACCACUCCUACAGUGCUGCACUGAUGAGGAAACUGAAACAGAAAAUCCAGAGUAAAUUCCACCAGGCCACACAGCAAGGUCUGAUAGAGCCAGGAGAGACUUUAUGAAAUCCAGACUCUCACACUAAUGCUCUAUCAGCUAGACCUCCAUGUGAGUCUCCCCAAUGUAGGUAGGAAGUGCUUUCCC